ACGGUUGGUGGCGCACUUCCUGAAUAUCGGGCAGUGUCAUUCGUGUGCGUUACGAAAACAGAUACCUGGCCCGCGACUAUGCGGGCUUUUUUAU
rnacentral:sRNA from 1 species